rnacentral:misc_RNA from 1 species
GCAAACUUGGUCAUUUAGAGGAAGUAAAAGUCGUAACAAGGUUUCCGUAGGUGAACCUGCGGAAGGAUCAUUACCGAGUCCGGGCUCCCACGAGCCCAACUCCCACCCGUGUCUACCGUUACCGCGUUGCUUUGGCGGGCCCACUGGAACCCCACGGUUCCGGUCGCCGGAGGACUAUUGCCCUCGGGCCCGCGCCCGCCGAGCACCCCUGAACCCUGUGUGAAUAGUGAGUCUGAGUGUCUAUUGAAUCGUUAAAACUUUCAACAACGGAUCUCUUGGUUCCGGCAUCGAUGAAGAACGCAGC